GUUUCAAUUCCUCAUAGGCAGGCUAUCGGCAGGAGUAGAUCAUUUCCCAUGACUUAUUUCCCAUCUG
rnacentral:sRNA from 1 species